UACGUAGGUGGCGAGCGUUGUCCGGAUUUACUGGGCGUAAAGGGCGUGCAGGCGGUUUGUUAAGUGCAGGGUGAAAGCUCCCGGCUCAACUGGGAGAGGUCCUUGCAUACUGGCGAACUCGAGGGAGGCAGAGGAAAGUGGAAUUCCCGGUGUAGUGGUGAUAUGCGUAGAUAUCGGGAGGAACACCUGUGGCGAAGGCGGCUUUCUGGCCUUACCUGACGCUGAGACGCGAAGCGUGGGAGCGAACCGG
rnacentral:rRNA from 1 species